rnacentral:rRNA from 1 species
AUUAUUGCACAAUGGGCGAAAGCCUGAUCCAGCCAUGCCGCGUGUGUGAAGUUGGUCUUCUGUUUGUAAAGCACUUUAAGUUGGGAGGAAUGUCAGUAAGUUAAUACCUUGCUGAUUUGACGUUACCGACAGUAUAAGCACCGGCGAACUUCGUGCCAGCAGCCGCGGUAAUAGGAAGGUUCCAAGCGUUAAUCGGAAUUACUGGGCGUAAAGCGCGCGUAGGUGGUUCGUUAAGUUGGAAGUAAAAGCCCCGGGCUUAACCUGGGAAUUGCUUUCAAAACUGACGAGCUAGAGUACGGUAGAGGGUAGUGGAAUUUCCUGUGUAGCGGUGAAAUGCGUAGACAUAGAAAGGAACAUCAGUGGCGAAGGCGACUACCUGGACUGAUACUGACACUGAGGUGCGAAAGCGUGGGGAGCAAACAGG